rnacentral:rRNA from 1 species
AGCGAACGCUGGCGGCAGGCUUAACACAUGCAAGUCGAGCGCCCCGCAAGGGGAGCGGCAGACGGGUGAGUAACGCGUGGGAACGUACCCUUUGCUACGGAAUAGCUCCGGGAAACUGGAAUUAAUACCGUAUGUGCCCUACGGGGGAAAGAGUUAUAGGCAAAGGAUCGGCCCGCGUUGGAUUAGCUAGUUGGUGGGGUAAUGGCCUACCAAGGCGACGAUCCAUAGCUGGUCUGAGAGGAUGAACAGCCACAUUGGGACUGAGACACGGCCCAAACUCCUACGGGAGGCAGCAGUGGGGAAUAUUGGACAAUGGGCGCAAGCCUGAUCCAGCCAUGCCGCGUGAGUGAUGAAGGCCUUAGGGUUGUAAAGCUCUUUCACCGGAGAAGAUAAUGACGGUAUCCGGAGAAGAAGCCCCGGCUAACUUCGUGCCAGCAGCCGCCGUAACAC